UGAUCAGUCUUUGUUGCUUCUUCUACUUUUUCAUUGUCAGCAGCUUUUAUCUAUUGAAUUAUUGGAAUCAGUAGUAAUUAUCGUGUAUUAACAUUAUAUAUGUUUAUGGGAGUAAGAAAAAUGCCUUAAUGUUUUCAUAUUUUGAAAUAUUCAGCUUGAUAUUGAGCUCCAAAAGGCUCCAUUUGAUCGCCGCUGGUUUGUGAUCUUCUCUUUCAGGAAUUGGACUGAUCAGGUUAGUUCUUUCACAUAGCCAAUACUGCAAACAUGUUUUUCAAUAUAAAGUGUUAAUUCACAUGAAACAAAAAAUAUAAUAGGAUUAACAAAUGGAUGUAGUUUCAUACCAGGAUUAGCACAAGGCAACCACUGACACUUGGUUGAUUUGUCUUGACCUUUUUAUUUUUUAUGGCUUGGUCCAGUCCAAAAUACAUGUAAUCUAAGACUCCUUAUGCCCAGUUGUAGUUGUUCUUUUAAGGUGCCAAUCAUAGUCAAAAAGGUCCAAGCUAUUGUUGCC
rnacentral:lncRNA from 1 species